CUCUUCACAGAAACUAGUCACGGAAGAUCCGGUCUCCUGAAUAAUCCCUUCCCCGGGGAAAAAAAAAGUGGACGAAUAAAUCCCCACUGGCCGCCGGCGGCGGCUGCGGCGGCGCGAUUGCGAGAGGAUCGGUUGAUUCCUCGAUCGGGUGGGUUCCAGGCGGAGGCCAUCCGGGAAAGAAGACGAGCGCGGGUCCAACAAGAAAAGGAGCAUGGCGGCUUAUCCGACCAUACGAGACGAUCCCUUGGCGGAGAAAAAGAGGAAGUUGGAUGUGUGGAGCGAGGAGGAAGAGGUCUCGUCGCCCGAUCCGUCCGUGUGGGUUCACCCUGAUGACUACUUGGCGGCCAGACGCGACGAAGAAUCAGGUCCGUCUCAUCCAUUUUUAUUCCAUCAGUUCAUACUAUAUUUAUUUAUUUGUUUAUUUAUGCUCCUGCUGCCUGCCUGCCUGUAGCUCCCCGCCCUGUGAAAAUCCCCACGCUCGAUCGCUUCAAGCCCCCGACUCGGUUUCACAUUGCCGAGCUCUUCUCCGUCCGUGAAUCCGG
rnacentral:lncRNA from 1 species